rnacentral:rRNA from 1 species
UACGGGGGGGGUAAGCGUUGUUCGGAAUUACUGGGCGUAAAGGGCUCGUAGGUGGCCAACUAAGUCAGACGUGAAAUCCCUCGGCUUAACCGGGGAACUGCGUCUGAUACUGGAUGGCUUGAGUUUGGGAGAGGGACGCGGAAUUCCAGGUGUAGCGGUGAAAUGCGUAGAUAUCUGGAGGAACACCGGUGGCGAAGGCGGCGUCCUGGACCAACACUGACACUGAGGAGCGAAAGCCAGGGGAGCAAACGGG